rnacentral:rRNA from 1 species
ACUCCUACGGGAGGCAGCAGUGGGGAAUAUUGCACAAUGGGCGCAAGCCUGAUGCAGCCAUGCCGCGUGUAUGAAGAAGGCCUUCGGGUUGUAAAGUACUUUCAGCAGUGAGGAAGGUGGGUAUGUUAAUAGCAUACUCAUUUGACGUUAGCUGCAGAAGAAGCACCGGCUAACUCCGUGCCAGCAGCCGCGGUAAUACGGAGGGUGCGAGCGUUAAUCGGAAUUACUGGGCGUAAAGCGCAUGCAGGUGGUUUGUUAAGUCAGAUGUGAAAGCCCGGGGCUCAACCUCGGAAUUGCAUUUGAAACUGGCAAACUAGAGUACUGUAGAGGGGGGUAGAAUUUCAGGUGUAGCGGUGAAAUGCGUAGAGAUCUGAAGGAUACCGGUGGCGAAGGCGGCCCCCUGGACAGAUACUGACACUCGAGAUGCGAAAGCGUGGGGAGCAAACAGGAUUAGAUACCCUGGUAGGCUCAGC